rnacentral:ncRNA from 2 species
CAAAAUUCGUUGGGGUGCCGCAAGGCUGAGAGACGCGAUCCGCGUCGACCCAUUGAACCUGAUCCGGGUCAUACCGGCGUAGGGAACGGAAUUUGGCGCGUC